UUGUUUUUUAACUUAAACCCAAUCGAAUAUAAUUGUUUUAUUGUAUGUUAAUAUUAUAGUUUAUUAGACUAAAUCUCACAUAAUAGCUGCUCCAUCCUCCUCUUUGUUAUAUAUUAGUGAGGCCAAAGCAAGUACUAACAUGGUUAUUCACUCAUUUGUAACUCUCUCUCUCUCUCUCUCUCUCUCUCUCUCUCUCUCUCUCUCUCUGCGACUUGAGAAGAUGUGCAAAGAGCACGACAGAGAAGCUCUCUCUCUCUCUCUUUCUCUCUCUCUCUCUCGGACAUGAGAAGGUGUGCGAAGAGCACGAUGGAGAAGCAGGGCACGUGCAUUACCGACUCAUACCGUACGUAUAUGGAGAGAACCAAGAAAUUGGGUGAACCAUGAGUCAUGAACCCUGAAGGCUGUUUAUAUCUUUGGCGGCUCCAUGUGUAGUGAACCAUGGGUGGGUUCUUCAUGUGCCCUUCUUCCCCAUCGUGACCAGGCCACCUCUAAAUUCAUCCAUGAAAGCUUCUCUUAGCAUUACCUCCGGCAUGCCUGGUAUUAUAUUGAACGAAUUGUUGAUUAACUAUGAGAUGUUCAAAGGAUUAAGCUAUCAAAAGCAGCGAAGGUUCUUAGACUGGAGAAGGUCUUCAAUUCUUUUUUUCUUGGGGGGGUUUGGAAUUAGGAUUUAUCAGUAGGAAAUCUCAAAAUGUUGCUGCCCUUUCUGUCUCUUGUACUCCAUUCUUCAAUGGAUUGGUGUAUUUUAUACAUCCUUUCUCAUAUAUAGAACCAGAAAGUAGCCAUUUUCAGCACUUGUAAUGCUCUCCUUGCUCACGGAAUAUUUAACUGAGCAAAACACUUAUUACAUUCUGCACUGGACCAAAAGAAUGAUUGCAUGAGAUUUUUCCUGUAGUGUCCACUUAGUACACCUUUUCUUCUCAGGUCUUAUUUUUAAUUUAUAUGAGUCUUAGUUUAUUUUAUUUUAUUUUAGUAUGAAUCCAUGGUUUUGGAUAGAUUGGACCGUGGCAAAUAAAGAGUAGUAUAUGCAGCACUUUCGUGCCAUAUACAGCGAAAAGAUGUGGGGGGCAGGGCAAUUCAGCGCUUGAAGCGGCCAUAACAUGCGUGUUCAAGCUUCAAGAAGUUGCUGAUACAUGUGUUGUUUGUUAUGGGCUUGCUUCGCCAAGAAAUGGUUUCUUAUCGUGAUAUCAGAGCACGAAUUCCUUUACAAUGUUUCUGUCUCCGGCUACUUUGUUCAUAUGGCUAUAUACCACGAUCUACACUUCCCGUGUAAAUCCCGUCUUAGGUACUGGAACAAAUGUUGCCAAGCAUGUAUACUUGAAAUACACGAUUCAUUUCUUUCCUUUCUUUAA